rnacentral:rRNA from 1 species
AGCGAACGCUGGCGGCAGGCUUAACACAUGCAAGUCGAACGGGCUUCUUCGGAAGUCAGUGGCAGACGGGUGAGUAACACGUGGGAACGUGCCCUUCGGUUCGGAAUAACUCAGGGAAACUUGAGCUAAUACCGGAUACGCCCUUUUGGGGAAAGGUUUACUGCCGAAGGAUCGGCCCGCGUCUGAUUAGCUUGUUGGUGGGGUAACGGCCUACCAAGGCGACGAUCAGUAGCUGGUCUGAGAGGAUGAUCAGCCACACUGGGACUGAGACACGGCCCAGACUCCUACGGGAGGCAGCAGUGGGGAAUAUUGGACAAGGGGCGCAAGCCUGAUCCAGCCAUGCCGCGGGAGUGAUGAAGGCCGUAGGGUUGUAAAGCUCUUUUGUCCGGGACGAUAAUGACGGUACCGGAAGAAUAAGCCCCGGCUAACUUCGUG